GAGAGCCCGGUGCAGGGACAACUUGCACGCCGGGUUCGGAGGGCGGGGCGGAGAAACGGGCCGGUGCGAAAGACCGGUACCGCGCUCCGCUCCGACCCUAC
rnacentral:ncRNA from 2 species